rnacentral:rRNA from 1 species
GGCUCAGGAUGAACGCUGGCGGCGUGCUUAACACAUGCAAGUCGAACGGUGAAGCCCAGCUUGCUGGGUGGAUCAGUGGCGAACGGGUGAGUAACACGUGAGCAACCUGCCCCUGACUCUGGGAUAAGCGCUGGAAACGGCGUCUAAUACUGGAUACGAGACGUGAUCGCAUGGUCAACGUUUGGAAAGAUUUUUCGGUUGGGGAUGGGCUCGCGGCCUAUCAGCUUGUUGGUGAGGUAAUGGCUCACCAAGGCGUCGACGGGUAGCCGGCCUGAGAGGGUGACCGGCCACACUGGGACUGAGACACGGCCCAGACUCCUACGGGAGGCAGCAGUGGGGAAUAUUGCACAAUGGGCGCAAGCCUGAUGCAGCAACGCCGCGUGAGGGAUGACGGCCUUCGGGUUGUAAACCUCUUUUAGCAGGGAAGAAGCGAGAGUGACGGUACCUGCAGAAAAAGCACCGGCUAACUACGUGCCAGCAGCCGCGGUAAUACGUAGGGUGCAAGCGUUAUCCGGAAUUAUUGGGCGUAAAGAGCUCGUAGGCGGUUUGUCGCGUCUGCUGUGAAAUCUGGGGGCUCAACCCCCAGCCUGCAGUGGGUACGGGCAGACUAGAGUGCGGUAGGGGAGAUUGGAAUUCCUGGUGUAGCGGUGGAAUGCGCAGAUAUCAGGAGGAACACCGAUGGCGAAGGCAGAUCUCUGGGCCGUAACUGACGCUGAGGAGCGAAAGGGUGGGGAGCAAACAGGCUUAGAUACCCUGGUAGUCCACCCCGUAAACGUUGGGAACUAGUUGUGGGGUCCAUUCCACGGAUUCCGUGACGCAGCUAACGCAUUAAG